rnacentral:rRNA from 1 species
AGUAAGAUCCCUGAGAGAUGAUCAGGUAGAUAGGUCAGGAGUGGAAGUACAGUGAUGUAUGGAGCGGACUGAUACUAAUCGAUCGAGGACUUAACCAAU